rnacentral:rRNA from 1 species
GGAGUUUGGGCCGUGUCUCAGUCCCAAUGUGGCCGGUCAUCCUCUCAGAUCGGCUACCAAUCGUCGCCUUGGUGGGCCGUUACCUCACCAACUAGCUAAUUGGACGCGGGUCCAUCCUGUACCACCGGAGUUUUUACCCCUGCACCAUGCGGUGCUGUGGUCUUAUGCGGUAUUAACAGUCGUUUCCAACUGUUAUCCCCCUGUACAGGGCAGGUUACCCACGCGUUACUCACCCGUCCGCCACUCGGAAUACUGAAUCCAUCCGAAAACUUCAUCGGUAUUCCUCGUUCGACUUGCAUGUGUUAAGCACGCCGCCAGCGUUCAUC